rnacentral:rRNA from 1 species
CCUACGGGAUGCUGCAGUGAGGAAUAUUGGUCAAUGGGCGCGAGCCUGAACCAGCCAAGUCGCGUGAGGGAUGACGGCCCUACGGGUUGUAAACCUCUUUUGCCGGGGAGCAACGGGCGCCACGUGUGGCGCCACUGAGAGUACCCGGAGAAAAAGCAUCGGCUAACUCCGUGCCAGCAGCCGCGGUAAUACGGAGGAUGCGAGCGUUAUCCGGAUUUAUUGGGUUUAAAGGGUGCGUAGGCGGAUCGUUAAGUCAGUGGUCAAAUUGAGGGGCUCAACCAUAAAAUUGCCGUUGAAACUGGUUGACUUGAGUAUAUUUGAGGUAGGCGGAAUGCGUGGUGUAGCGGUGAAAUGCAUAGAUAUCACGCAGAACUCCGAUUGCGAAGGCAGCUUACUAAACUAUAACUGACACUGAAGCACGAAAGCGUGGGGAUCAAACAGGAUUAGAUACCCGAGUAGUC